rnacentral:rRNA from 1 species
GAUGAACGAUGGCGGCGUGCCUAAUACAUGCAAGUCGAGCGAACGGACGAGAAGCUUGCUUCUCUGAUGUUAGCGGCGGACGGGUGAGUAACACGUGGAUAACCUACCUAUAAGACUGGGAUAACUUCGGGAAACCGGAGCUAAUACCGGAUGAUAUUUUGAACCGCAUGGUUCAAAAGUGAAAGACGGUCUUGCUGUCACUUAUAGAUGGAUCCGCGCUGCAUUAGCUAGUUGGUAAGGUAACGGCUUACCAAGGCAACGAUGCAUAGCCGACCUGAGAGGGUGAUCGGCCACACUGGAACUGAGACACGGUCCAGACUCCUACAGGAGGCAGCAGUAGGGAAUCUUCCGCAAUGGGCGAAAGCCUGACGGAGCAACGCCGCGUGAGUGAUGAAGGUCUUCGGAUCGUAAAACUCUGUUAUUAGGGAAGAACAUAUGUGUAAGUAACUGUGCACAUCUUGACGGUACCUAAUCAGAAAGCCACGGCUAACUACGUG